rnacentral:rRNA from 1 species
UACGAAGGGGGCUAGCGUUGCUCGGAAUCACUGGGCGUAAAGCGCACGUAGGCGGUUUGUUAAGUCAGGGGUGAAAUCCUGGAGCUCAACUCCAGAACUGCCUUUGAUACUGGCGAUCUCGAGUCCGGGAGAGGUGAGUGGAACUCCGAGUGUAGAGGUGAAAUUCGUAGAUAUUCGGAAGAACACCAGUGGCGAAGGCGGCUCACUGGCCCGGUACUGACGCUGAGGUGCGAAAGCGUGGGGAGCAAACAGG